GGGGCUGUAGCUCAGUUGGGAGAGCGCUUGAAUGGCAUUCAAGAGGUCAUCGGUUCAAUCCCGUUCAGCUCCACCA
rnacentral:tRNA from 2 species